AAAAAUAGGGAUUUCAAUGUCUAGAAUUCCUACGGAGAUUGGAAACCAUGCGAUCUUGUUUAAGUAUUUGUGCACAGGCCUUUCCCUCUCCCUUACCUUUUUCAUUAUAGCAAACAAAGCAUACUAGGGCAAACAGGGCUCGUGAGUGUACUCUUGUUCCAACAUUUUUCAAGAUUUCUCCAAACUUCUACUCCAUUGCGUUCAAGCUUAGCACAUCUCUCAA
rnacentral:lncRNA from 1 species